rnacentral:rRNA from 1 species
UUCGCAAUGCCCGAAAGGGUGACGAAGCGACGCCGCGUGUGGGAAGAAGGCCUUCGGGUUGUAAACCACUGUCGGGAGUUAAGAAAUGUAAGGGUGUUAAUAGUAUCCUUACUUGACUAAGGCUCCGGAGGAAGCCACGGCUAACUCUGUGCCAGCAGCCGCGGUAAUACAGAGGCGGCAAGCGUUGUUCGGAAUUAUUGGGCGUAAAGAGCACGUAGGCGGCUGUGUAAGUCGGUUGUGAAAGCCUUCUGCUCAACGGAAGAACAGCAGCCGAUACUGCAUAGCUUGAGUGCGGGAGGGGAGAGCGGAACUUCUGGUGGAGCGGUGAAAUGCGUAGAUAUCAGAAGGAACGCCGGCGGCGAAAGCGACUCUCUGGCCCGUAACUGACGCUGAGUGUGCGAAAGCUAGGGGAGCAAACGGGAUUAGAUACCCCGGUAGUCCUAGCCGUAAACGAUGGGCACUAAGUAGAGGGGUUUU